AGAAAGCAGGGGACCUUCGGGCCUUGCGCUAUCAGAUGAGCCUAGGUCGGAUUAGCUAGUUGGUGAGGUAAUGGCUCACCAAGGCGACGAUCCGUAACUGGUCUGAGAGGAUGAUCAGUCACACUGGAACUGAGACACGGUCCAGACUCCUACGGGAGGCAGCAGUGGGGAAUAUUGGACAAUGGGCGAAAGCCUGAUCCAGCCAUGCCGCGUGUGUGAAGAAGGUCUUCGGAUUGUAAAGCACUUUAAGUUGGGAGGAAGGGCAGUAAGUUAAUACCUUGCUGUUUUGACGUUACCGACAGAAUAAGCACCGGCUAACUCUGUGCCAGCAGCCGCGGUAAUACAGAGGGUGCAAGCGUUAAUCGGAAUUACUGGGCGUAAAGCGCGCGUAGGUGGUUCG
rnacentral:rRNA from 1 species